CUGUGAGUGUUUCUUUGGCAGUGUCUUAGCUGGUUGUUGUGAGUAAUAGUGAAGGAAGCAAUCAGCAAAUAUACUGCCCUAGAAGUGCUGCACGUUGAUGGGCCCCAGAGGGAAGAGACAGCAAGAGGCGCCCGGGGCCAGCGUGAGCGCCAGAGCCAGGAUGUUGGAAGAGAAGAAAACAGACAUACGAAGUGCCAAAGUCACAAAGGAUGCGGCUGAUAGAAAUAGGGACAGGAUCUGAACCCAAGCAGUCUGGCUUGAGAAUCCUACUCUUCACCACUGCCCCGUGUCCUUGGAGAUGGGUCUCGGGUGGCAUCCAUGCCCUGUGGACCUGCUUUGCAGAGUGGCCUGAACACAAACACACUUCACCGUUUCUCUUCCCCCACGAGGCAAACUGUGAAGGCAGUCAUUAGCUCUGGCGAACGUGCCUGGGUGGGCAUUAGGAAAUGGGUCUGCCUUGGGGAGAAUUUUCCUUUUCAGCCUAGGCCAGGCCCAGGAUGUUGACAGGAGUGAGAAGUGGCUGGUGUUUCUGCCCCAGUGGCUGGUGAGGAAGGUUCCUCCAUGGGAGCUCAGCAAAAGAUAGUCUGAUUCUCUGGGUCUGCCCAGCCCCACCUGCAGAUGCCAGCCUUGGGUCCAGUGAACUGUGUGGCCAGCCGGAUUGCCAUGGCAACAGGGAGUAGACCCAAGCCACCAGAGGUUGGAGAGCAAAGGCACACUGGUUACUUGUGCAGGUCUUGGACCACAAGGCACAUCCAUUAGCAGGCCCCUCGCUUUGACAGAGCCCACUGGAACCAGCCUUUGGUCCUUGUCUGUCUCGAGGUGGUGCCUUUGUGGUCUCUGAUUGAGCCGUGAGUACUCCAGUUCUUUGUCCCACUGAUUUUUUCCAUCCUCCAAUCUAGUGCUUAUGGGAAUUCACGCAAGUCCGAGAGGUGAAGCAAGGCAGUGGUUUACUCCUCUGACCCCAUUGACUAAGACAAGCUUCGAGGGCCCGUGAGGGGAUGGGGCUUCUGGUACCUUUGAUGCAGGCCAAGGACAACACCUGCUGUGACCCCCCAACCUCCCCAUGCCCCCGCUGCCCCUCCUCCAGCCACUGCCUGCCCUCCCCUGCUCAUGCCCACCUGCCUGGACCCCAUCUUUUUUGCCUCUGUCUUGCUGACCUCGGUGCUUCCUAGCACUGAGUGGGAGAUGAGCCUGUUUCCAUUUGGACCACUUUAUGUAAGUCAGAAGACCCCUUAGAGAGGUUUUCUGAGUCUAACCUUGGCCUUGAGACCUCUACUCUGGUCCACGCCAGCCCUCUUUCUCUUAAUGCUGGAGAGCAAAGUGGGCAGCCAGGCUCUCUUCAGCAAAUUGGAUUCCUGUGGGAAUUGUUCUGUUUCUCCCCAGCGCUCAGAGGACUUGCUUCAGAGAGGGCCCCUUUGUAACGCACGUUGGACUGGCCACGCCCAUGCCCACUUGGCCACACAUUCCCCUCUGCUCCCCAGGCCCGUGGAGCCGGGCGUGGGCUGAAGUGGGGCCGAUGGAAUGCCCGGAAUGCCGGCUGCAAUGAGCGACCAACGCUCAGAUCCCUCACGGGAGUUUUGACCAAGGCAGCAUUUGGGAUGGCUUCUGAGCCGAAGUCUUUACAUUCUUCCCAGUUUUAGGCAGAAGUGAAGAAUGCCUGCCUUCUCCCAACCACCAAUUGACUCAGGAUCUUGAACUUUUGAAUUAAAGGGACCACACUCUCGGAUUGUGGUCUAACUGGC